GGAAUAAUUAGUGCUAACAUUUUAAUCAGUCCUCAGUACAGAAAAAAAAAAUGUUUACAUGAUACAUAAUACUUCAUAAACAGACUAACUGUAGCUUAGACAGCAGCAAUGAUAUGAUAAUAGGCACACUUACAAUUGCUGCUCAAAGUCCAAUCCACUGUCAAGACAAAGUAGUUCAGAUAUAAGCAGAAGAUGGACCACGGUCUGCAUGUGCUCCCCUGUCCAUUUCUGAUAUCACGGAGAAGCAAUAGCUUGAGGGCUGUGCAGGCAUUUGGAAUAGGAAGAGCUUGUUCUGGCAUUCUCUCCAUAUGGCUGCUAGGGAAGAGCUUGGUUAUCACAACGCGGCAUCACAGCUAUGUAGCCAUAGCUAGUCACAAAAUAUCCAUUUGCUAGAAGGCAAAGAGGUCAGGUUGCUUCCUGUCACUGGUUUUCUGUAACCACAACAUCUGUAUUUUGUCUUUUCUCUGGCCUUACAGAGAGAAGCCAUGUCAAGAGAGGUAAAUCCCUUAUUCUUAGCACAAUGAGCAUUGACAGCUGAGCCAUACAUGAAGGUCUACACUGUAUGCAAGAUGAGGAGACAGAAUUCUACACUGU